GCUGUGGCGCAGUGGUAGAGCACUUACCUAGCAUGUGUGAGGCACUGGGUUUGAUUCUCAGCACUGCA
rnacentral:tRNA from 1 species